rnacentral:rRNA from 1 species
CUUGCAAACUAAAGAUGGCGACCGGCGCACGGGUGAGUAACACGUAUCCAACCUGCCGAUAACUCGGGGAUAGCCUUUCGAAAGAAAGAUUAAUAUCCGAUAGUAUAUUAAAACCGCAUGGUUUUACUAUUAAAGAAUUUCGGUUAUCGAUGGGGAUGCGUUCCAUUAGUUUGUUGGCGGGGUAACGGCUCACCAAGACUACGAUGGAUAGGGGUUCUGAGAGGAAGGUCCCCCACAUUGGAACUGAGACACGGUCCAA